rnacentral:rRNA from 1 species
CGGACGGGUGAGUAAUGUCUGGGAAACUGCCUGAUGGAGGGGGAUAACUACUGGAAACGGUAGCUAAUACCGCAUAACGUCGCAAGACCAAAGAGGGGGACCUUCGGGCCUCUUGCCAUCGGAUGUGCCCAGAUGGGAUUAGCUAGUAGGUGGGGUAACGGCUCACCUAGGCGACGAUCCCUAGCUGGUCUGAGAGGAUGACCAGCCACACUGGAACUGAGACACGGUCCAGACUCCUACGGGAGGCAGCAGUGGGGAAUAUUGCACAAUGGGCGCAAGCCUGAUGCAGCCAUGCCGCGUGUAUGAAGAAGGCCUUCGGGUUGUAAAGUACUUUCAGCGGGGAGGAAGGGAGUAAAGUUAAUACCUUUGCUCAUUGACGUUACCCGCAGAAGAAGCACCGGCUAACUCCGUGCCAGCAGCCGCGGUAAUACGGAGGGUGCAAGCGUUAAUCGGAAUUACUGGGCGUAAAGCGCACGCAGGCGGUUUGUUAAGUCAGAUGUGAAAUCCCCGGGCUCAACCUGGGAACUGCAUCUGAUACUGGCAAGCUUGAGUCUCGUAGAGGGGGGUAGAAUUCCAGGUGUAGCGGUGAAAUGCGUAGAGAUCUGGAGGAAUACCGGUGGCGAAGGCG